rnacentral:rRNA from 1 species
UUUGAUCAUGGCUCAGGAUGAACGCUAGCGGCAGGCUUAAUACAUGCAAGUCGAGGGGCAGCAUGGUUGUAGCAAUACAACUGAUGGCGACCGGCAAACGGGUGCGGAACACGUACGCAAUCUACCCAAAACUGAUGAAUAGCCCUCCGAAAGGAGGAUUAAUACAUCGUAACUUAAUGAAGUGGCAUCACUCUAUUAAUAUAGCUCCGGCGGUUUUGGAUGAGCGUGCGCCUGAUUAGGUAGUUGGCGGGGUAACGGCCCACCAAGCCUGCGAUCAGUAACUGGUGUGAGAGCACGACCAGUCACACGGGCACUGAGACACGGGCCCGACUCCUACGGGAGGCAGCAGUAAGGAAUAUUGGCCAAUGGACGCAAGUCUGAACCAGCCAUGCCGCGUGAAGGAUGAAGGUCCUCUGGAUUGUAAACUUCUUUUAUGUGGGACGAAACCUCUUAUUCUUAAGAGACUGACGGUACCAUAGGAAUAAGCACCGGCUAACUCCGUGCCAGCAGCCGCGGUAAUACGGAGGGUGCAAGCGUUAUCCGGAUUCACUGGGUUUAAAGGGAGCGUAGGAGGGCAGGUAAGUCAGUGGUGAAAUCUUCGAGCUUAACUCGGAAACUGCCGUUGAUACUAUCUGUCUUGAAUACCGUGGAGAUGAGCGGAAUAUGUCAUGUAGCGGUGAAAUGCUUAGAUAUGA